rnacentral:rRNA from 1 species
AACGAACGCUGGCGGCAUGCCUAACACAUGCAAGUCGAACGAAACCUUCGGGACUAUGGGCGCUCGGCGUCGUAGCCCGUGGGAACCUGCACUUGGGUUCGGAAUAACUCCCCGAAAGGGGUGCUAAUACCGGAUAAUGUCUUCGACUCAAAGAUUUAUGGCCUUUGGUGGUUCUCGCGUUGGAUUAGCUGGUGGUUAGGGUAAAAGCUCACCAAGGCGCCUAUUCAUAGCUGGGAUGCGAGGAUGCUCAGCCACACUGGGACUGAGACACGGCCCAGAAUCCUACGGGAGGGAGCAGUGGGGAAUAUUGGACAAUGGGGGAAGGCCUGAUCCAGCUAUGCCGGGUGAGUGCUGAAGGCCUUAGGGUUGUAAAGCUCUAUUACCCGGGAUGAUAAUGACGGUACCGGGAGAAUAAGCUCCGGCUAACUACGUG